rnacentral:rRNA from 1 species
UACAGAGGUGGCAAGCGUUGUUCGGAAUUACUGGGCGUAAAGGGCGCGUAGGCGGCCUUCUAAGUCAGACGUGAAAUCCCCCGGCUUAACCUGGGAACUGCGUCUGAUACUGGGAGGCUUGAGUAUGGGAGAGGGAUGUAGAAUUCCAGGUGUAGCGGUGAAAUGCGUAGAGAUUUGGAGGAACACCAGUGGCGAAGGCGACUUUCUGGUCUGUAACUGACACUGAGGCGCGAAAGCGUGGGGAGCAAACAGG